CAGAGAGGAGACUCACUUUCUUACUCGCUCUCUCAUGCACCAUAGCGAUCUUUCCGAGUGCCGAGUUCUCAUUUACUCUCAAAGGAGAGAUCAGGUUCACCUCGGUGACAAGAUCCUUGCAACCUGCGGGCAGACCUGCUCCGUCGGGACUACUCAUUGGAUAUUGGAUCUCGAGCCUGCCAUUGGGAUAACUAAUAAGAAUUUAAAUAAUCCGCCUUGAUAACGAAGGACCAUCAGGACCGUAUCAUAUCUGGUUAUCGACCUUGUAACAGUCCAGUUGCUAUCUGCUAUAUCAAGUGUUUUAUUCGAAAAUAGCAGGGACGCUGUUUUUAUCAGUGGCAUUAGAGUUAUCGCAAAGUGGGGCGAAAUACGCGAUAGCAAAUGAACGUAGUUGCUUUUCAGCGACGAGCUGUCUCUUUAACUGAGAAUCCCAUCUGGAUCUUCUUCGAUUCCCUCAAGACGAUGGAUGGUAAAGACGAGCAGUCUCUGGAUAAACAUUUGGCCAUACUACGUCGAAGCAAACUCCUGAGUCGGGUAGGACGUCUAGAAAACAUAUGCCAGGUAUAGCCAGUACCUUGGAAAGUUCGAGUAUCGAAGAAGACACUGGACGUUACCGUAAACCAAGUAUACCAAUAAGUUCGAACUGUAAAAUGGACCAUGAAAGGUAAAAUCACUCUGUCACGACGACGGGGUACAUAUCAAAUCUGUUAACACGAAGAGGCAAAUAAAUGUACACCUACGCAACGGCGAUAAAAGAAAAGCAGGGCGACAGUCUGAUACGAAUUAUCACGUCCGGUCAUUUACCGAAUCCACAACUGGUGAUACUUUUCUUUACCCCAGUGGGUAUACCUCUUUGUCAAUUUCUCUCUAUGUAUGUCCUCCGUCAAGAUUAGGUACUGUACGUUAGUCAUUCGUCAGAUAUCAGAGUUUUGAUUAAAAUCGCAAGGUCACUUGUUAAUCGAGCCCAGUUAAUCAGUACAUCGUUCAUAGACUGAACGAAUGAUAAGGGCUCGAGUUUUCUCCAAAACUGAUAUCAGAAGAUCAACGAUGAGAAAAAAGUGAAAAAUAAGUGGCUAAGAAAAUUAAUCUAGAAGGGGGUACCUUUUGAUGAUUUCACUUCGACCUUGGUCCUAGUGCAGUCUGACCUGGUCCUACUUGCAAGAUGACUCGGACUGAUUGACCAGGUUACAAGGGAAGGAGGUCUGGAUGGAGAUUGGUCAGGAUGAUUAGGUGGGGAUGAUCAACAAAUCGAUCGACCCCAUUGCCAAGGGUAAAUAACCUAUGGUGGCUGGUAUGGUGUUCGUUUCUGGUCCUGAUGUAUUUACGGACCCACUCCUGAUUUAGGAUCCUUUCAUUGUGGUAGGAAUACAGUCUUCUGUUCUUGAUUCGCCCUUUUGUUCAGCGCUUGACCCUCCUGGACAUCCCUAUGGUGGCAGUACC